CUGGGGCUUCACUGCAACACCAGGAAGGACUACUUACUAACCUAGAGAGAAAUGCAUGAUCCUCGACACCAGACCUCCCAGACAGCAGGCCCUCUGAAAAGUUCAGUUAGCAAGCCCCAUCAACAUACCCACCGCUGGAAGCUGAGGAUGGUAACUUCCUCCCAAGGUUUUGUGAGUUUGCAGUACCUGGCAAGUGGUGGAGCCUCCUCUCUGGAAUCUUACCUCACUGGUCUGGGGAAAGAAAAGGACCCUUGCACUUCUCACACCCACGCCCAGAACCCCUAGUCCCCAUGUGGCUGGCAGUCUCUUGGUGUGAGGAUGCUGUUUUCUACGAACAGUCUAGCUGGCACCACCAUAGCCAAGUAAAAUGGAGCACAUGCAAAUCCCUCAGGAGGUGACUGCAUGUAGGCCAGGGCAGAGGGUCAGGCUAGUGUGGCAUCAGACGGUCCCCAAACAUGUAGUGGGUCAGAUGUUUCCCUGACCCCAUAGUAGUCUGAAAACCCUGGACACAGUGUCCUGUUCAAAGGGCCAAGAUGCCAGAGUGAUGUCCAGAUGAAGAGCCAAGCCAAGUCCAGGCUUAGCAGCCUAGCAACACCUAGGAAACAACGUAAGCGUCCACCUUCACAGGACCGCCCAGCGCCAUGGGGACGCUUCAUUAGAAACUAGUCACUUCGCCCAUGUGCUCAGGACUGGACAGAAAAGCUCAGAGUGGCACGUCCAUAUAGGUCCUGGGCAGUAGAGGACCAGAACUGCCAUCAGAGUCCCCAAAGGUAGGAUCCUCAGCAAGAAAGCACUUGAGAAAGCAUUUCUAAUAGCUCUAACAUACCUUGGGCUUUGUAAAUGGAAAUUGGGUCACUCUGCCCUACUGGUCCUCACUGUCCUAGAACAGAACCUGAGCACCCUUGGGAAUAGUCCUAGGCCCACCCAUGUAGUUCCUCAGCAGCACCCAGAGCUAUGUGAGACAAGUGGUCUUCGUCGUGUCUCCCCUUACCUCCAGUUUCCUCACACAGCACCUUUCUCCAGUCAGUGUUGUUUAACUUUGAAUAGAAGCCCUCCCUCUAGAUGACAUCUGUCAUCUAGCAAGGAAAGGGUAGUAACAAUUAGAUCACAAGGACUUAUUGUCUCCAUAUUGUCAGCUUAAACUGUCUUUGGAAUUUGUUGUGGCACCUGUGUUCCCUCUCAGCAUAGAAACUGAUUGAGUCCAACUUUGCUGCACAGAAUGGAUGUGCAUUUUCCUCAGUUCGAUUUGAACACACAGCUGGAGUGUUUGUCUGUGCUGCAUGUUUUAUGCGAUACCAAUUAGCUACUACUAAUUAUGGGUAAGUAGAAUCCAGUGUCUGUGAAUAAAAACAAAAACUGCACAGCAUGCAAACCAAGACCAGGGCCAUGUGCUAAUAGGUGACAGGCACACAAGAGAUGGGGGUAGGUUCUCACAGGGGAUAACACCCAGGAGGCGAUAUUUUUUUUUCUCUAUAGGGGGCACUCAGGAGACAGAGACAUACUCUGUUGUGAGCUGAUCCAGGAGACAAGAAAGAUUCAGUCUAUCAGGGGAAGACACUCAGGAGACAGAGACAGGUUCUCUUGAGGUAUGACAGACAAAAGUAAGGACAGAUUUGGUCAGAGGCGACACUCAGGGACACGGAUGGAGUGACAGAGUCAUGUUUGGUUGUGCAUGACACUCGGCAUGUUCUGUCAGAGUAAUACUUGGAUAUAUUCUAUUGGGGGUGAUACCCAUGGACAUGGUCUGUAGGGGGUGAUAUACAGGGACACAUUCUGUUGGAGGUGACAUUCAGGAGAAAGGGACAAAUUUCAGGGAAGAGCCAUUCAGAUGGUGUCUUAAGUGUCAGGGAAUGAUGGUAGGUAGGUUAGAGGCUGUCUGAAACAUUGACUCUAGUAGAACCCCUAUUUAUUUCUAUUUAAUGCUAUGAGCAACUAGUUAGUGGAAAUACUUUACCAAAACAAGAGUUCAAAUUCCGUAUUUAAAUAUUGUGGAAAGAUCUAUAUUUAUACUGGAGUAUUUUUACACCUUUCAGUAUCCUAUCUUACUUUGGGGCAUAGGGACAUUAAGAGAUGGAGACAGUUUUGAAAUAGGUUGCACUACAGAUCUGCCACCUCCCUUAGUCUGUCCCAGGGAGUUGACAGGUGGCUGCCCUGAGCCAAGACUCAACCUUCCCCCUCCCAGAGGCCCUGGGCUGCCUCAGCUGCCUGCUUUAAUGAAUAGUUUUACUGGCACACAGCUGUCCCCAUGUGUUUACAUACUGUUCUGUAGCUGCUUUGGUAUUAGAACUGGCUGGGAGGAUUGGGACAGAUGCCAUGGCACAGACACGUGGUAUUUGCCACCUGUCCUUUUCCAGGGAAAACUGCCUGCCUGUCUGCAGCCCCCGACCCCCUGUAGACUCGUCUACUACCCGGCUACAACAUGGGCACAUGGGGGAAGCCCUGCCAAUUAAGAAUGGCAAGAGUAACAAUUUAGCUGUACUGUGAAGACAUCAGUAGACAGAAUAGCCUUCCAACAUUGAGCCAAACAGCUCUUCCUCACCAACAUACUACUGACCAUUUUGAACUUUACAGUUUAGGGGUGUGGCCAUCUUGGGAUGAUUAAAUUAUCUCUUCCUUUAGACUUCUUAACUAAACCAAGCCAAACAACAAAGGAAGCCUGUACAACUUAAACUUGAAAGGAAUAAUAUGCUAUUACUACUAGUUUGUACUAAGUUUUUUUUUUCAAGAAAGGGAGUUAAGUUUAUAUAUAUGUGAUAUAUAUUUUUACACUAUUUUAUUAAUGUUAGGGAGUAUGGAGUUUAUCACUUUAUCAGUGUGAUGGGUAAUGUUGAUGUCACAGGUGUCCUGACUCAAAGACACUUAUGCUGACAUCUAAACCACGCUUGCUCAGAAUGUCAGGUCAGGAUGGCCCUGCUGUCCCUCCUAUAGUGCAAGGCAUCCAGUCACCUAGUUGGACAUAUGGCCUGGCUCAUAUUGCUUUUGUGAACAGCUUGUGUCUGUCAACAUUUCGUUCAUUGUGUUUGCUGUUAUUAACAUUGUGUGUCAAGUUGGUAAAGUGAUGAAUAAAGGUUUUAAAAUAUGGA
rnacentral:lncRNA from 1 species